CAGUCGCCACGGUAAUACGUAGGGUGCGAGCGUUAAUCGGAACUACUGGGCGUAAAGCGUGCGCAGGCGGUUCGUUAAGACAGAUGUGAAAUCCCCGGGCUUAACCUGGGAACUGCAUUUGUGACUGGCGGGCUAGAGUAUGGCAGAGGGGGGUAGAAUUCCACGUGUAGCAGUGAAAUGCGUAGAGAUGUGGAGGAAUACCGAUGGCGAAGGCAGCCCCCUGGGCCAAUACUGACGCUCAUGCACGAAAGCGUGGGGAGCAAACAGGAUUAGAUACCCCGGUAGUCCCUGUCUCUUAUAC
rnacentral:rRNA from 1 species